GACGAACCGAGCGACCGUUGUUCGGAAUCACUGGGCUUAAAGGGCGCGUAGGCGGGUAUUCAAGUCUGGGGUGAAAUCCGGCAGCUCAACUGUCGAAUUGCCGUGGAUACUGGGUAUCUCGAGGGAGGUAGGGGCGUGCGGAACUAAUGGUGGAGCGGUGAAAUGCGUUGAUAUCAUUAGGAACUCCGGUGGCGAAGGCGGCACGCUGGACCUCUUCUGACGCUGAGGCGCGAAAGCCAGGGGAGCAAACGGG
rnacentral:rRNA from 1 species